rnacentral:misc_RNA from 1 species
AAUCAAGCAUGACAUAUAAUAUACAACAAUAACUAAGCCUUACUCCAAACUAGUUAGGAUCAAUUAUAUGGAUUUUUUUUUUUUCCAUUCAGCUCUAUUAGACAUAAGGUCCACUAAUAUGAUUGCUAUUUUUGUUAAUUCUUUGACAUGUUAUUUUCUUAAUCUCUAAAUUGAAUGCAUAUGCUGAGAAAAUUUUCUGAUUUCUCUGUCAG